UGUAGCCCCGCUUCACUUCCGGGGUUGUCUCCGCGACUGUUUACAUCCUCGUUGGGGGAAUCUAGUCCAGAUUUCCACACUUUAUUCUUAUUAUAAUAAACAUUAAACCAUAAAACAUGUCCCCUGCCGCGUCCCUGCACGCGCAGCUCGCCUCCAUCAUGGAGGUCCUCGCGAACACGGCGGUGGCGGAGAUCUGUGAGCUCGUGGACAGCGGGCUCGCGGUGCUACAGCUCGAGGUCUCGCGGAGCCGCAAAGAGAACGAGGCGCUGCGCAGAAAGCUGCGGCUCGUGGAGAUCCGAGCGGUCCGGGUCACCGCAAGCGGAAGAACCACCGCAAGCGGCACCGCGCUGAGAACCACCGCAGCCGGCAGCAACCACUGCAGGCGGAACGACGCUGAGAACCACCGCUAGCGGCACCGCGUUGCCCCUAUCUAACGGCCGCGCUGCCGCUCAGUUUGCCGCUCAUCAUCAGCCUGGAAACGGCGGAGGACCGGAAAAACUGGUGGUGAGGCGGUGCGAUGUGGAGACCCCUCUGAACACGAUGCUACACGGGGGACGCAGGCUGUAGGAGAAUCCAUCAAAGUGGAGGACGACGAGUUAUGUUCCCAAACUGAGCCGUACCGUGUUGACAGACACACAGAGAAGGAAGCCCCGCCCCCUCCGACCAAACAGGAAGUAGCGAAGGAAGUUGUCAGCACUUCCUGCCAGAGGUCAGAGGCCAGCGGAGGGUCUGACUGCCUGAUAUUCGAACCACAGCUCCAACACCCCCCGCUCUACCCACAAUCCUUUGGGGGAGGAUCCCAGCUGCUCGUACGCCAGCAACAGCGUUUCCGCGACGUCGGAUUCUAACAGUUUUCAUAUAGUUACUGACGAAGGAAACGGCCAGCAAGGGAAACAGUUCUUCUGCACUUUCUGUGGGAAGACUAUGUCCUGCCUGAAGAACCUGAAGACUCACCUGAGGGUCCACACAGGUGAGGGGGUUGUCGUAGCAACUUAAAAUCAGCUGCUGUCUAGAGAAAAUGAUGAGCAAAUAUGCAAAGAAACACAAUAUCGAUAUAAGUAUUUCAAGAUAUUUCUUUUAAUGCUUGCAAGCAUGACGACUCCUCCUGAGAGCCUCUUGUGUGUGACGGACUCUUUUAUAGAGAAGACAAAAGCUCAGUUACAUUUCAAACAAUAACAUUUGAGCCAAGGUCGAUCACAAUAAGCAAAACUAGUUGGGUAUCGCAGCUAUCCUCCUUAGAGCAAACUUCUUCCUUUCCUGUAUGUCAUAACACCCUUUGUGACACAUCUGAUCACACGAACGUUUAUAAGCCAUUCCCAGGAUACCACUUUGUUAACAGUUACAUUUCAUUAGGAUUACACUGUGUUCAAACUUUAAAGGUCCCCUAUCAUACUGUUCUUCAUCAGUAUAUCACAGGUCUCAGAUAUAUACGAGCCUGUCUCUGAUUGGCUGAAACACCAGACAUAUCAUUGCAGCAAUACCCAUAAUCCCCUCUGUUUCAGCCCUGUUUCCAAAGUGCUGAUUCUGUAGCUUUAAAUGCUAAUGAGCUG